rnacentral:rRNA from 1 species
GACGUAGGGUCCGAGCGUUGUCCGGAGUUACUGGGCGUAAAGCGCGCGCAGGCGGUCGAUCGCAUCGGCGGUGAAAGCCCCCCGCUCAACGGGGGAGGGUCCGACGAGAUGGAUCGACUGGAGGCAGGGAGAGGCCAGUGGAAUUCCGGGUGUAGUGGUGAAAUGCGUAGAGAUCCGGAGGAACACCAGUGGCGAAGGCGGCUUGCCAGAACGCGCUCGACGGUGAGGGAUGAAAGCUGGGGGAGCAAACCGG